CUCAGCACUAGCUGUCUGCAUUGUCUCUCUAGUAUCUCUCUGAUUGCCCUUAAGGUUAACAAAUUCAUGACUAGUGAUAUGGUUGCAAAUACAACUGCAAUCCUCAGGGUGUGAAUGAGGUCAGGAUUCCAGAUAUGCAUUAGUAAAAGAGUUAGUGAUAAAUCUAAAUGAAGAAAGGCAGACAAGGAAGCAUUUUUAUGUGUAUUUUAUUAAUGAAAUGUUGAGAUAAGAGACUCUCAGGAUGAGUCUGUGACCGUGAGUGGACAAUGAGCAAACUUGUCAACACAGGAAGACAAAAAGCUUAGCCCUGCUUUAUCCUUCAGGGCAAGCUGAAAGGAUAGAACAGGAAACCACAUUGGAUGCUUUCACUUUCUGCAAGGACAGAAAGGCAGUGAAGAAAACUGACAGUUGGAAAAAUGAGAUGAACUACUUAGUAAUUUUCAGCUCUUAAAUAAUUGCCAUGAUGCUGAGAAAAGCUUCUUCUUCAGAUGAGUUCCAUCUACAACUGAUUCUUAGACUGACAACCAAGGUUUGUUUUUGAAUAUAGUGGGAUUGCACUUCCACAUAAAAUAUUGACUAAGUAAAGGACAUAACGUCCCUGAGAAAGUUGAAGACCAGUUGAUGGUUCUUUGGAGAUCUGCUGAGAAGAAUGAGAUCUGCUUUAGCUUUCCAGCUGCCCUAGAAAUCAUACAUGUAGUUCCCAACAAGGUGUCUGAGCUGCCUAAGGCUAUCUUUGAAGUCAGUAGACGAAGAGUGGCACACUGGACAAAGAAGGGUGCAUAAAUCCCACACAUUAAGUUAUCUGGAACUCAUCAGCUGAGAUAAACACAUUGCUGUCUUUCUCUCUUGAUUUAGUGUAAAACUGAUUCUUUUUGUUUAUUAUUAUUUUAAAUUUUAUACUGUGGAUUUCAUUAGCACUGUAGAGAAUAGAGUUUAGAGCCCCAAGGAUUUUGAUGCUGUCCACAAAGUUUUUCUUUCACAGAAAUACAUUCUCCAGGUAUGCAAAUUAAAUUUGGCCAUAUCCUCCCCACAGCUCUGCUGCAGGAUGCUAUAAAUCAAGAGAGAGAGACCCUCUUGUGACUCCUGUUGCCCUCUCCCCACCUCUUGAUCUCCCUGUCAGCAUGUUAAGUCAUGCCAUAGACAAAGCUAAGAUAGGUACCCAGCAUAAGGUGAAGCAGACAUCUACCCCACUCACUUGGUCAUUCUCAAGGCCAAUACAAAACAUACUGGCAAUGUUUUUCUUUACCUUGGCUUUCUGGAGCCUGGAGCCAGAUAUUACUUCCAUAUCUUAGAUUCUUACUUACCUGCAGUGUCUGCCAGACAGGUCUCAAAUGGAUUAUUGUGAAAACAGGAAAAUAAGAGGUGGUAAUGAUAAAGAUAGGGGCAAUAAAUCAAAAAAAUGGUCUUGCUGUAACAUAUAGAAAUACUUUGCUGGUGCUGUUCUCAAAUAACACAUAACAAUCUGCCUCUGGACUGAGAUGGCUCAGCUGCCAUCCAAGGAUGUUCUGCCCCUUCAUUACUGCUAGGACCAGCAUGCUCAAUGUGCUGAGGAUGUGCUUGAAUAAGCAUAUGAGUCAACCCAUCUGCUUGUAGAGAGGUCCUGGCAGAGCUGGCACAGUUCUUAUAGGUGUGGAUCAAAUACAAUUAUCAGAUUUUUCUUGACAGCUUUUUGUAAGUGAAAGAAGUGUGAAAUGCUUUGGCAAUUUCUCCCCAUUGUACUGCUAGUGUACUCCAGAGGAUGCAUGAGUACAGUGUGGUGUGGCUGGAACGGGAAGUUGAUCUUAGAUAUAAUUUAACAGACCUGCAUGGACAAAACGUUGGAAAUGAUCUCUCACUCAAGCUGCAACACAGAAAUCUAUGAUCUGCAUCAUUCAAGGCAGCAAAAGACCAACAUGCCUUUUUAUAAAUCAUUGCUUUCAAAAAUAAAUAAAACUCCCAUGUAAAUAAUGAAAUCAGUCAAAAAAAAAAAAUAAAAAAUGAGGCCUUCUGAUACCUUCUGAUACCUUGGAAGAUGAUACUGAUUUUCUAGUAAAUUAGAAUAACAAAGAUAAGAAAGCAAUGAAACAACAGCAGCAUGUCAGAAAUCAACUUUAACAGAUGAAUAAAAAGAUGAAAAUGUAUGGUGUAUGGCAUAAUAUCCUUGGCUAUAGUUUGACAGGACUGCUUGGAGGACAACAAAACAAACGAAUAUCAUUUUUCAUUUUGGCUGCCAGGACCACCAUAUUUCAGGAACUCAGAAUUUGCAAUGACACUUUUAUAUUUUGGUGAUUCUGAUCCUGAGAGAUCAGAGGAGAAGAGAUGGGCUGAGUAGACAAGAGAGACACAGAAAGAACACAACAACAGCUUGUUCUCCACCAGCCCUGACUGAUCCUGAGUGUUGGUUACAAGAAGAGUCUUGUUCCCUUGGUGUAACUCUCAGCCUUGUUCUUCCUCAUCUUUCUCCCUCCUCCCUCCAACAUUCUCUGAUUAAAUAGAAUCUGGCUUAGCUUGGCAAGUCUCUCCCUCUCUCUCUCUCUCCCUGUGACU